rnacentral:rRNA from 1 species
AGGGAUCAUUACCGAGUUUACAACUCCCAAACCCAAUGUGAACGUUACCAAACUGUUGCCUCGGCGGGAUCUCUGCCCCGGGUGCGUCGCAGCCCCGGACCAAGGCGCCCGCCGGAGGACCAACCAAAACUCUUAUUGUAUACCCCCUCGCGGGUUUUUUUACUAUCUGAGCCAUCUCGGCGCCCCUCGUGGGCGUUUCGAAAAUGAAUCAAAACUUUCAACAACGGAUCUCUUGGUUCUGGCAUCGAUGAAGAACGCAGCGAAAUGCGAUAAGUAAUGUGAAUUGCAGAAUUCAGUGAAUCAUCGAAUCUUUGAACGCACAUUGCGCCCGCCAGUAUUCUGGCGGGCAUGCCUGUCCGAGCGUCAUUUCAACCCUCGAACCCCUCCGGGGGGUCGGCGUUGGGGAUCGGCCCUUUACGGGGCCGGCCCCGAAAUACAGUGGCGGUCUCGCCGCAGCCUCUCCUGCGCAGUAGUUUGCACACUCGCAUCGGGAGCGCGGCGCGUCCACAGCCGUUAAACACCCCAAACUUCUGAAAUGUUGACCUCGGAUCAGGUAGGAAUACCCGCUGAACUUAA